UACGGAGGGUGCAAGCGUUAUCCGGAUUCACUGGGUUUAAAGGGUGCGUAGGUGGCCCUGUAAGUCAGUGGUGAAAUAUCUCAGCUUAACUGAGAGGGUGCCAAUGAUACUGCAGGGCUUGAGUACAGAUGAGGUAGGCGGAAUUGACGGUGUAGCGGUGAAAUGCAUAGAUAUCGUCAAGAACACCGAUAGCGAAGGCAGCUUACCAAGCUGUAACUGACACUGAGGCACGAAAGUGUGGGGAUCAAACAGG
rnacentral:rRNA from 1 species